rnacentral:rRNA from 1 species
UACGUAGGUGACCAGCGUUGUCCGGAUUUACUGGGCGUAAAGAGCGCGCAGGCGGUCGUUCAAGUCGGGUGUGAAAGCCCCCGGCUCAACUGGGGAGGGUCAUUCGAUACUGAUCGACUCGAAGGCAGGAGAGGGAAGCGGAAUUCCCGGUGUAGUGGUGAAAUGCGUAGAUAUCGGGAGGAACACCAGUGGCGAAGGCGGCUUCCUGGCCUGUUCUUGACGCUGAGGCGCGAAAGCUAGGGGAGCAAACGGG